rnacentral:rRNA from 1 species
UACGUAGGUCCCGAGCGUUGUCCGGAUUUAUUGGGCGUAAAGCGAGCGCAGGUGGUUUAUUAAGUCUGGUGUAAAAGGCAGUGGCUCAACCAUCGUAUGCAUUGGAAACUGGUAGACUUGAGUGCAGGAGAGGAGAGUGGAAUUCCAUGUGUAGCGGUGAAAUGCGUAGAUAUAUGGAGGAACACCGGUGGCGAAAGCGGCUCUCUGGCCUGUAACUGACGCUGAGGCUCGAAAGCGUGGGUAGCGAACAGG